rnacentral:rRNA from 1 species
UUAAAUUGAAGAGUUUGAUCAUGGCUCAGAUUGAACGCUGGCGGCAGGCCUAACACAUGCAAGUCGAACGGUAACAGGAAGAAGCUUGCUUCUUUGCUGACGAGUGGCGGACGGGUGAGUAAUGUCUGGGAAACUGCCUGAUGGAGGGGGAUAACUACUGGAAACGGUAGCUAAUACCGCAUAACGUCGCAAGACCAAAGAGGGGGACCUUCGGGCCUCUUGCCAUCGGAUGUGCCCAGAUGGGAUUAGCUAGUAGGUGGGGUAACGGCUCACCUAGGCGACGAUCCCUAGCUGGUCUGAGAGGAUGACCAGCCACACUGGAACUGAGACACGGUCCAGACUCCUACGGGAGGCAGCAGUGGGGAAUAUUGCACAAUGGGCGCAAGCCUGAUGCAGCCAUGCCGCGUGUAUGAAGAAGGCCUUCGGGUUGUAAAGUACUUUCAGCGGGGAGGAAGGGAGUAAAGUUAAUACCUUUGCUCAUUGACGUUACCCGCAGAAGAAGCACCGGCUAACUCCGUGCCAGCAGCCGCGGUAAUACGGAGGGUGCAAGCGUUAAUCGGAAUUACUGGGCGUAAAGCGCACGCAGGCGGUUUGUUAAGUCAGAUGUGAAAUCCCCGGGCUCAACCUGGGAACUGCAUCUGAUACUGGCAAACUUGAGUCUCGUAGAGGGGGGUAGAAUUCCAGGUGUAGCGGUGAAAUGCGUAGAGAUCUGGAGGAAUACCGGUGGCGAAGGCGGCCCCCUGGACGAAGACUGACGCUCAGGUGCGAAAGCGUGGGGAGCAAACAGGAUUAGAUACCCUGGUAGUCCACGCCGUAAACGAUGUCGACUUGGAGGUUGUGCCCUUGAGGCGUGGCUUCCGGAGCUAACGCGUUAAGUCGACCGCCUGGGGAGUACGGCCGCAAGGUUAAAACUCAAAUGAAUUGACGGGGGCCCGCACAAGCGGUGGAGCAUGUGGUUUAAUUCGAUGCAACGCGAAGAACCUUACCUGGUCUUGACAUCCACGGAAGUUUUCAGAGAUGAGAAUGUGCCUUCGGGAACCGUGAGACAGGUGCUGCAUGGCUGUCGUCAGCUCGUGUUGUGAAAUGUUGGGUUAAGUCCCGCAACGAGCGCAACCCUUAUCCUUUGUUGCCAGCGGUCCGGCCGGGAACUCAAAGGAGACUGCCAGUGAUAAACUGGAGGAAGGUGGGGAUGACGUCAAGUCAUCAUGGCCCUUACGACCAGGGCUACACACGUGCUACAAUGGCGCAUACAAAGAGAAGCGACCUCGCGAGAGCAAGCGGACCUCAUAAAGUGCGUCGUAGUCCGGAUUGGAGUCUGCAACUCGACUCCAUGAAGUCGGAAUCGCUAGUAAUCGUGGAUCAGAAUGCCACGGUGAAUACGUUCCCGGGCCUUGUACACACCGCCCGUCACACCAUGGGAGUGGGUUGCAAAAGAAGUAGGUAGCUUAACCUUCGGGAGGGCGCUUACCACUUUGUGAUUCAUGACUGGGGUGAAGUCGUAACAAGGUAACCGUAGGGGAACCUGCGGUUGGAUCACCUCCUUACCUUAAAGAAGC